UGCAGUCGAGCGGAACGAUCCUAGCUUGCUAGGAGGCGUCGAGCGGCGGACGGGUGAGUAAUGCAUAGGAAUCUGCCCGAUAGUGGGGGAUAACCUGGGGAAACUCAGGCUAAUACCGCAUACGUCCUACGGGAGAAAGCAGGGGAUCUUCGGACCUUGCGCUAUCGGAUGAGCCUAUGUCGGAUUAGCUUGUUGGUGAGGUAAUGGCUCACCAAGGCGACGAUCCGUAGCUGGUCUGAGAGGAUGAUCAGCCACAUCGGGACUGAGACACGGCCCGAACUCCUACGGGAGGCAGCAGUGGGGAAUAUUGGACAAUGGGCGAAAGCCUGAUCCAGCCAUGCCGCGUGUGUGAAGAAGGCUUUCGGGUUGUAAAGCACUUUCAGUGAGGAAGAAAGCCUUGGGGCUAAUACCCCCAAGGGACGACAUCACUCACAGAAGAAGCACCGGCUAACUCCGUGCCAGCAGCCGCGGUAAUACGGAGGGUGCGAGCGUUAAUCGGAAUUACUGGGCGUAAAGCGCGCGUAGGCGGCUUGAUAAGCCGGUUGUGAAAGCCCCGGGCUCAACCUGGGAACGGCAUCCGGAACUGUCAGGCUAGAGUGCAGGAGAGGAAGGUAGAAUUCCCGGUGUAGCGGUGAAAUGCGUAGAGAUCGGGAGGAAUACCAGUGGCGAAGGCGGCCUUCUGGACUGACACUGACGCUGAGGUGCGAAAGCGUGGGUAGCAAACAGGAUUAGAUACCCUGGUAGUCCACGCCGUAAACGAUGUCGACUAGCCGUUGGGGUCCUAGAGACCUUUGUGGCGCAGUUAACGCGAUAAGUCGACCGCCUGGGGAGUACGGCCGCAAGGUUAAAACUCAAAUGAAUUGACGGGGGCCCGCACAAGCGGUGGAGCAUGUGGUUUAAUUCGAUGCAACGCGAAGAACCUUACCUA
rnacentral:rRNA from 1 species